rnacentral:rRNA from 1 species
GACCCGUCUUGAAACACGGACCAAGGAGUCUAUCUAGUAUGCGAGUAAAUGGAUAAUUUAUGAAAUCUAUUUGCAUAAGAAACUUGACUGUUGGGGGAUUACGAGAUAUAAGUUAAUGAUUUAUAUCUAUUCCAUCCCGGGGUAUUUUCAUCAACAUAUGCUUGCAUAUGGAAAAUAUACCAUGAGCAGACUGGAUACGACCCGAAAGAUGGUGAACUAUGCCUGAUCAGGUCGAAGUCAGGGGAAACCCUGAUGGAGGACCGAAGCAGUUCUGACGUGCAAAUCGAUUGUCAGAAUUGGGCAUAGGGGCGAAAGACCAAUCGAACCAUCUAGUAGCUGGUUCCUUCCGAAGUUUCCCUCAGGAUAGCUGGUGCAUAGAGUAAUUGUAUUGCUAACUCAUACCUGGUAAAGCGAAUGAUUAAAGGCCUAAGGAACGAAAUGUUCUUAACCUAUUCUCAACCUUUAAAUGGGUAUGUAAGUUAACAUACUUGAUUGAUGUUAACCAUUAGACAAUAGUAAUAUUGUCACGUAAGAUUGUAUGCUCCAAGUGGGCCAAGUUUUGGUAAGCAGAACUGGUGCUGCGGGAUGAACCGAACGCAUUGUUAAGGCGCCCAAAUAAACGACGCAUCAUCGAUACCAUGAAAGGUGUUGAUUGCUAAAGACAGCAGGACGGUGGACAUGGAAGUUGUCAUCCGCUAAGGAGUGUGU